rnacentral:rRNA from 1 species
UAACGCGUGGGAAUCUGCCCUUUUGUUCGGAAUAACGUUGGGAAACCGACGCUAAUACCGGAUACGCCCUACGGGGGAAAGAUUUAUCGCAGAAGGAGGGGCCCGCGUCGGAUUAGCUAGUUGGUGGGGUAAUGGCUUACCAAGGCGAUGAUCCGUAGUUGGUCUGAGAGGAUGAUCAGCCACACUGGGACUGAGACACGGCCCAGACUCCUACGGGAGGCAGCAGUGGGGGGUAUUGGACAAUGGGCGCAAGCCUGAUCCAGCAAUGCCGGGUCAGUGAUGAAGGCCUUAGGGUUGU